UGCAUUUGAACCAGAACAUAUCAUCCAACUCAAGAAAACAGAGAUUAACCAAAUUGCCAAGGUCCUUAGGGAGCUCGAAAAGCCAAAGGCACCUCAAGAGUUUCAGAGUUUGUAGAUUGCACAAGUUGCAUAUUGAGUUGGGAAGUUCUUUGAUUUCUGUCUGAGAGAGGUCAAGGUAGUGCAACAGCUUUAACUCUUCAAUAGAGCUUGGCAAUUCGAGAAGCGUGCUUGAACUCAAAUCCAAGGCACGAAGGUAUUUCAAUGAAUGAAACAACUUAUCAAGGACCUGACAAAAAUUCUUCAAGUGCUCACGAGGCAAUAGGAGUGUGCGCAGCUUCUUGGAAUUAUCAGCUAUCUUCAUG
rnacentral:misc_RNA from 1 species